GACCUCUUAGCUCAGUGGUAGAGCGUGUGAUUCCAGCUUAUACAAGCAACUCAGUCGAUUCCACAAGGUCAUCCGUUCAACUCGGGUAGGGGUCA